CCAGCGCCCGGAGUCUAGCAGGUUCCUCCGCCCCCGGCUCUCCGGGAACCCCGUUUCCUUAGUGCAGCUGCGUCUGCCCCGGGGCCGUGUUUGGCCAACCACAGACAGCCGCUAAAAAAAGUCUUUUUCCGUGGGCAGAAUGUUGAAGCAUUGAACGCCGGCGAGGGGCACCCCAACACCUUGUCACAUCUUCACCCUCAGACCAAAACCCACUGGCUGGCCGGAGGGAAGAGGGGUGUGGACCGGAGUGAGAUCCAAUCGGGGACCUGGCCCCCGUCCUACUGCGCGGUCCCUGCCUGCGGGGUGUUCCGUGAGGCCCGGCCGGGGGCGCGUGUCAGUCCCGGCGGACUCGAUUUAUUGAAGGCCCCAAGUAAUGCAAGAUGCCUCGUUUUUUAUUGCUUCAGGUUAGACACCGAAUGCACCGAGGGAUUUUAUUCAGCCUGAAGAGUGAUCUGCAGGCAGAGGAGACACGUGGUUAGAAACUAGAAGUGAGAAAAGGCAAUGAUGCAGAGUACUGAGAGUGCUCCCUCCAGGACCUAGAGCAAGAUACUGCCCUCAGUUGUUUUAUUCUGCUUGAGAACAGAGGUUGUGUUCACUAUCUGACUGCAGUCUACGUGUAGUUACCUUUGCUUGUUCUAACUGGUGUAUACUCCAGAUCCUGUAGCAUAACACCUUCAGUCACAUCUUCAGGGAGAAGACUAUGGACAUAACUGAAAUGACAACAGAAAUAUUUUCUUCUGGUAUCUGGCUAAAGAAAGAACAGGACACCUCUGCUGUAAUGAAUAAUGGCCUGUGGGAAGGAGAAGCAAGAAAAGAGCAAUUAAUGGAAAUGAGGUCCUAUGGAAAGAAGGAGAUAGAUUCAGGAAGUUUUCUAGGAGACAGAGGAAGAGCGUCAUGAACGAGCCAAGGAAUGCAAGCAGCUCUGGAGGCAGGAAAAGGCAAGGAAGAUUUUCCUCAGAUCCUCCAGAAGGGAACGCAGAGCUGCCAAUACCUUGAUUUGAGCCUGGGGAGACCUACUUGGAUCAAACCCACAGGUGAAGUUCAUGCUAUGGAGUAGAGGUCAGGACCCAUGUCUCAAAUGCCUGCUUCCCUUCUUUACACUUCUCAAGGACCAGUGCUGGAUGAGUGGAUUUUCACCUCCUCAAUCUCCCUGAUAGGG